rnacentral:rRNA from 1 species
CAGCAGCCACGGUAAUACGUAGGUGGCAAGCGUUGUCCGGAAUUAUUGGGCGUAAAGGGCUCGCAGGCGGUUUCUUAAGUCUGAUGUGAAAGCCCCCGGCUCAACCGGGGAGGGUCAUUGGAAACUGGGAAACUUGAGUGCAGAAGAGGAGAGUGGAAUUCCACGUGUAGCGGUGAAAUGCGUAGAGAUGUGGAGGAACACCAGUGGCGAAGGCGACUCUCUGGUCUGUAACAGACGCUGAGGAGCGAAAGCGUGGGGAGCGAACAGGAUUAGAUACCCCGGUAGUCCCUGUCUCUUAUAA